rnacentral:rRNA from 1 species
AUGGCCAAGGGCUUCAACCUGGUGGAGCUCGUCGCCCUCUCCGGCGCACACUCCGUCGGCGUCGCCAACCUAACGUCGGUCGCGCACCGAUUCGGAGCUCCGAUCGUCCGCGGUGAGAUGAGCCGCACGUACAGUGCAGUCGUUGCAGCUGAAGUGCUGAAACACUCGGGUGUGGUAGAGAACAACGUCCGUGACUUCGACGAUUCGAACCGUAAGCUCGCUGGUUACCAGGCCAAUGGGGUGGUGGACUUGACGGCGGUGGGGUACCUGGACAACAGCUACUACAACGCCAACUUUCAGAACAUGGUGCUCUUCAACUCCGACUGGGAGCUGACGACGAACGAGACCGCGAAGCUGCACAUGACAUCGUACAAGGAGAAAGCCAGUUUGUGGAACACAGCCUUCGCCGACGCCAUGACCAAGCUCAGCAAGAUGGUCGAGUCCAAGGACCCACUUUACGAGAUCGGGAGCAGGAGGACAUGCAAUGUCACCAACCAGAUGUCCUACCCUUGA